UCACAAUCAGAAAGGCGCUGACAUCCGCAAAUCCAAGACCAAAUUUGGUAAAAUUGGGUCACCAAGACACUUUGCAGAGGCCUUUUUCCCUUUGAGGUGGCAGUAGGAGGAUAUGUCCAAUUAAUACUGAAUGACAGGAACUGUGUCAAUGAUAACCAUGUCUGAGUUUUUAGAA